AGUGAACGCUGGCGGUAGGCUUAACACAUGCAAGUCGAACGGCAGCACAGUAAGAGCUUGCUCUUCCGGGUGGCGAGUGGCGGACGGGUGAGGAAUACAUCGGAAUCUACUUUUUCGUGGGGGAUAACGUAGGGAAACUUACGCUAAUACAGCAUAUGACCUACGGGUGAAAGCAGGGGAUCUUCGGACCUUGCGCGAUUGAAUGCGCCGAUGUCGGAUUAGCUAGUUGGCGGGGUAAAGGCCCAGCAAGGCGACGAUCCGUAGCUGGUCUGAGAGGAUGAUCGGCCACACUGGAACUGAGACACGGUCCAGACUCCUACGGGAGGCAGCAGUGGGGAAUAUUGGACAAUGGGGGCAAGCCUGAUCCAGCCAUACCGCGUGGGUGAAGAAGGCCUUCGGGUUGUAAAGCCCUUUUGUUGGGAAAGAAAAGCAGCAGGUUAAUACCCCGCGGUUCUGACGGUACCCGAAGAAUAAGCACCGGCUAACUACGUG
rnacentral:rRNA from 1 species